AGAAGACUUUUUUAUUGCCCAAAUUACAGGCUAAAGGACAGGCCGGUAUUCGCGUUCCAAAUUAUUUGGAAAACGUGAUAAACCUAUAUUCCGAAGAGGAAUUUAGGAUGCAUUUCAGAAUGAAUCGGGCAACAUUUGAAUUUAUUUUUAAUUUAAUUGGGCCAACACUUGAAAAAAAGAAAAAUAAUGACAGGCAUCAAGGACGUAACCCCAUAGAUCCAAAAAAACAGCUUUUAAUUCUUGUAUGGACACUCGCAACACCAGAUUCAUACAGGUCAGUUUCUGAUAGAUUUGAUGUAGGGAAAGCAACAUGCCUCAGAACAGUCAGAAGAGUUAUGAAAGCUCUGCUAAAUUAUAAAUCAGAUUUUAUUAAAUGGCCCACCUAUGAGGAAGCUAAUGAGAGUAUUGCUGCAUUUCAAAAUUCAUACGGUUUUCCUGGUGUACUGGGGUGUG